AUCGAACGCUGGCGGCAGUGCCUAACACAUGCAAGUCGAACGAGAAGCGGGAGCAAUACGUGAGUCAAGUGGCAGCACGGGGAGUAACACGUGACUAACCUCCCUUCGGAGUUCGGAAUAACUCAGGGAAACUUGGGGCUAAUACCGGAUACACCUUACGGGUCAAAGGAGCAAUUCGCUAUGAGACGGGGUCCGCGGCUGAUUAGCUUAGUUGGUGAGGUAACGGCUCUACCAAGGCGACGAUCAGUAUCCGGCCUGAGAGGGCGCACGGACCACCACUGGAACUGAACACGGUCCAGACUCCUACGGGAGGCAGCAGUGGGGAAUUUUGCACAAUGGGGCGCAACCCUGAUGCAGCCAAUGCCGCGUGGAGUGAUGAAGUCCCUGGGAUUGUAAACUCCUUUCGAUCGGGGAAGAUUAUGACGGUACCCGAAGAAGAAGCACCGGCUAACUCUGUGCCAGCAGCCGCGGUAAUACAGAGGGUGCUAAGCGUUGCUCGGAAUUACUGGGCGUAAGGCGCCGUAGGCGGUGCGGUAAGUCUGCGGUGUGAAAUCUCCGAGCUCAACUGCGAGCUGCCGUCGAAACUGGCCGUGCUCGAGUGUCGGGAGAGGUGAGUGGAAUUCCCGGUGUAGAGGUGAAAUGCGUAGAUAUUCGGGAGGAACACCUGUGGCGAAAGCGGCUCACUGGACCACAUACUGACGCUGAGGCGCGAAAGCUAGGGGAGCAAACAGGAUUAGAUACCCUGGUAGUCCAGCCCUAAACGAUGGAUUGCUGGUAGCCGUUACCAAUCCUGCUCGCAGUGCGCAGCUAACGCGUUAAGCAAUCCGCCUGGGGAGUACGGUCGCAAGAUGAAACUCAAAGGAAUUGACGGGGGCCCGCACAAGCGGUGGAGCAUGUGGUUCAAUUCGAAGCAACGCGCAGAACCUUACCUGGGCUCGAAGCGCAGGGACUGCGGUAGAAAUACUCGCUUCAGUCGCUAGAGACUGAUGACGUAGGUGCUGCAUGGCUGUCGUCAGCUCGUGUCGUGAGAUGUUGGGUUAAGUCCCGCAACGAGCGCAACCCUUCUGCCCUUAGUUGCCAUCAUUUAGUUGGGCACUCUAGGCGAACUGCCCGGAUAUACCGGGAGGAAGGUGGGGAUGACGUCAAGUCCUCAUGGCCUUUAUGUCCAGGGCUACACACGUGCUACAAUGGUCGGUACAAACGUCGCAAACCCGUGAGGGCGAGCCUUCAAUCGGAAAAAGCCGUACCUCAGUUCGGAUUGUAGUCUGCAACUCGACUCCAUGAAGCUUGGAAUCGCUAGUAAUCGCAGAUCAGCACGCUGCGGUGAAUACGUUCCCGGGCCUUGUACACACCGCCCGUCACAUCACUGAAGUGGGUUGUACCUAGAAUCGGUGCGCCUAACCUCAAGGGGAGCAGCCGCCAAGGUAUGUCUCAUCGACUGGGGUG
rnacentral:rRNA from 1 species